UACGUAGGGGGCAAGCGUUGUCCGGAAUCAUUGGGCGUAAAGCGCGUGUAGGCGGUCCGGUAAGUCCGCUGUGAAAGUCCAGGGCUCAACCCUGGGAUGCCGGUGGAUACUGUCGGGCUAGAGUACGGAAGAGGCGAGUGGAAUUCCCGGUGUAGCGGUGAAAUGCGCAGAUAUCGGGAGGAACACCACUUGCGAAGGCAGAUCGCUGGGACGUUACUGACGCUGAGACGCGAAAGCCAGGGGAGCGAACGGG
rnacentral:rRNA from 1 species